ensembl:snoRNA U3 Small nucleolar RNA U3
AAGACUAUGCUUUCAGGGAUCAUUUCUAUAGUUUCUGAUUUGGAAGUUUGAUUUGAAAGUGUAACGUCUCUCUAACCACGAUGACGAGUUAAGAUGCUUUCUUCUGAGCGUGAAUCGGGUGGUGAGCGACGAGCGAGAUUGUCUGCUCUCUGUCAUUGAUGAACGUUCCUGCUGUGCUUUGCAGUCUGGAAGAAGAAAGCAUGUUCAGAGUGGU